rnacentral:rRNA from 1 species
AUGGUUGUCGUCAGCUCGUGUCGUGAGAUGUUGGUUAAGUCCCGCAACGAGCGCAACCCCUACUUGUUAGUUGCCAUCAUUCAGUUGGGCACUCUAGCGAGACUGCCGGUAAUAAACCGGAGGAAGGUGGGGAUGACGUCAAAUCAUCAUGCCCCUUAUGACCUGGGCUACACACGUGCUACAAUGGUUGGUACAACGAGUUGCGAGUCGGUGACGGCGAGCUAAUCUCUUAAAGCCAAUCUCAGUUCGGAUUGUAGGCUGCAACUCGCCUACAUGAAGUCGGAAUCGCUAGUAAUCGCGGAUCAGCACGCCGCGGUGAAUACGUUCCCGGGCCUU